GGGCGUGUGGCCUAGUCUGGAUAAGGCACCUGGCUUCUAACCAGGGGAUCGGGGGUUCAAAUCCCUCCACGCCCA
rnacentral:tRNA from 1 species